CACGCUGUAAACGAUGAGAACUAAGUGUUGGGGAGACCCAGUGCUGAAGCUAACGCAUUAAGUUCUCCGCCUGAGGAGUACGCACGCAAGUGUAAAACUUAAAGGAAUUGACGGGGGCCCGCACAAGCAGUGGAGCAUGUGGUUUAAUUCGAGGCUACGCGAAGAACCUUACCAGGGCUUGACAGGAAACUUAAGACCCUAGAGAUAGGGGGAUAAUAAGUGAAACAGGUGG
rnacentral:rRNA from 1 species